UACGUAGGGUGCAAGCGUUGUCCGGAAUUAUUGGGCGUAAAGAGCAUGUAGGCGGCCCGAUUAGUCCGCUGUGAAAGUCCAGGGCUCAACCCUGGAAUGCCGGUGGAUACUGUCGGGCUAGAGUCCGGAAGGGGCGAGUGGAAUUCCUGGUGUAGCGGUGAAAUGCGCAGAUAUCGGGAGGAACACCAAUGGCGAAGGCAGCUCGCUGGGACGGUACUGACGCUGAGACGCGAAAGCGUGGGGAGCAAACAGG
rnacentral:rRNA from 1 species